rnacentral:rRNA from 1 species
GACGAACGCUGGCGGCGUGCUUAACACAUGCAAGUCGAACGGAAAGGCCUGCUUUCCCUUGUGGAUUGCGGGUACUCGAGUGGCGAACGGGUGAGUAACACGUGAGUGAUCUGCCCCCAACUUGGGUAUAAGCCUGGGAAACUGGGUCUAAUUCCCGAUAGGACUGCAGGGUGGUGCCUGUGGUGGAAAACGAUUUUCUAGUGGUUGGGGAUGAGCUCGCGGCCUAUCAGCUUGUUGGUGGGGUAAUGGCCUACCAAGGCGGCGACGGGUAGCCGGCCUGAGAGGGUGGACGGCCACAUUGGGACUGAGAUACGGCCCAGACUCCUACGGGAGGCAGCAGUGGGGAAUAUUGCACAAUGGGCGGAAGCCUGAUGCAGCGACGCCGCGUGGGGGAUGACGGCCUUCGGGUUGUAAACUCCUUUCGACCGCGAGGAAGCCACCUGGUUGGAAGGGUGGUGACGGUAGUGGUAGAUGAAGCACCGGCUAACUACGUG